rnacentral:ncRNA from 1 species
UGAAGGUUUGGUCCUAGCCUCAAUAUUAGUUAUAACUUGACUUACACAUGCAAGUCUCAGCAUUCCGGUGAGAACGCCCUAAUCAGCCUACACAUCUAAUUAGGAGCUGGUAUCAGGCACACUCCAAAGCAGCCCAUAACACCUCGCUCGGCCACACCCACAAGGGAAUUCAGCAGUGAUAAACAUUGUUCCAUAAGCGCAAGCUUGAGUCAAUCAAAGUUAUAAAGAGUUGGUUAAUCUCGUGCCAGCCACCGCGGUUAUACGAGUGACGCAAACUAAUAUUCCACGGCGUUAAGGGUGAUUAGAAGUAUCUUAUACAAAAUAAAGUUAAGACCCCAUUAAGCUGUCAUACGCUCUCAUGCUUAAAAAUAUCACUCACGAAAGUAACUUUACAUAAAAUAGAGUUUUUGACCUCACGACAGUUAAGACCCAAACUAGGAUUAGAUACCCUACUAUGCUUAACCGUAAACAUCGUUAUAAAUAAAUUUACCUUAAUACACCGCCUGAACACUACAAGCGCUAGCUUAAAACCCAAAGGACUUGGCGGUGCUCCAAACCCACCUAGAGGAGCCUGUUCUAUAACCGAUAAUCCACGUUUAACCUCACCACUUCUUGCCUUUUUCCGCCUAUAUACCGCCGUCGUCAGCUCACCCUGUGAAGAUACAACAGUAAGCAUAAUGACCUUUUACCCUCAACACGUCAGGUCGAGGUGUAGCGAAUGAAGUGGGAAGAAAUGGGCUACAUUCUCUUUUUAGAGUACACGAACAGAAACAUGAAAAAUUUCUUAAAGGUGGAUUUAGCAGUAAGUAAAUUUCAGAAUAUUAUACUGAAACCGGCUCUGGAGCGCGCACACACCGCCCGUCACUCUCCUCGAAAAAUUACCAUAAAUUUCAUAAAAAGACUUUUCAGCAAGAGGAGGCAAGUCGUAACAUGGUAAGUGUACUGGAAAGUGCACUUGGACUAAC